GGGGCUGUGGCCUAGCCAGGAAUGGCGACGGGCUCCAGCGGAUAAAUGAUGAACAACGGGUCUACUGAGGCUUGCCCGACGGGGUUUGCCAGUGAGGAACCGUUGGAGCACUGAUAUGUGUUCAUAAGAACAAUCAAAGCUGCUAAGUGCAGUUGUUCGGAGAGACCCGUCGAUCGUGAGUUCGAAUCUCACCAGCCCCA
rfam:Methanohalophilus mahii DSM 5219, complete genome.